rnacentral:rRNA from 1 species
GAUGAACGCUGGCGGCGUGCUUAACACAUGCAAGUCGAGCGAAGCACCUACUUUGGAUUUCUUCGGAAUGACGAGGUUUGUGACUGAGCGGCGGACGGGUGAGUAACGCGUGGGCAACCUGCCUCACACAGGGGGAUAACAGUUAGAAAUGACUGCUAAUACCGCAUAAGACCACGAAACCGCAUGGUUUUGAGGUAAAAACUCCGGUGGUGUGAGAUGGGCCCGCGUCUGAUUAGGUAGUUGGUGCGGUAACGGCGCACCAAGCCGACGAUCAGUAGCCGACCUGAGAGGGUGACCGGCCACAUUGGGACUGAGACACGGCCCAAACUCCUACGGGAGGCAGCAGUGGGGAAUAUUGCACAAUGGGGGAAACCCUGAUGCAGCGACGCCGCGUGAAGGAUGAAGUAUUUCGGUAUGUAAACUUCUAUCAGCAGGGA